rnacentral:rRNA from 1 species
CAGCCGCCACGGGAAAACGAAGGGGGCUAGCGUUGCUCGGAAUGACUGGGCGUAAAGGGCGCGUAGGCGGCGGCCAAAGUCAGGCGUGAAAUUCCCGGGCUCAACCUGGGGGCUGCGUUUGAUACUUGGUUGCUUGAGUGGGGAAGAGGGUCGUGGAAUUCCCAGUGUAGAGGUGAAAUUCGUAGAUAUUGGGAAGAACACCGGUGGCGAAGGCGGCGACCUGGUCCUUUACUGACGCUGAGGCGCGAAAGCGUGGGGAGCAAACAGGAUUAGAUACCCCUGUAGUCCCUGUCUCUUAUAC